CCGAGUUUACAACUCCCAAACCCCUGUGAACAUACCUAUAUGUUUGCCUCGGCGGAUCAGCCCGCGCCCCGUAAAACGGGACGGCCCGCCGCAGGAUCCACAAACUCUGUUUUUAUUGUAACUUCUGAGUAACAAAACAAAUAAAUCA
rnacentral:misc_RNA from 1 species